UAGCAGUACACUAUCAUCCUCCCAAAGAAUCCCACCACCACGUAGCCGAAGCAAACAACAAACCCACUUCCAUGAUUCAUCACCACAAAAUUUUUAAUAUUUGUGAAAUCAUUCUGAAACUCAAGAUCGUCGAUCGGAAAAUCUCUUUGUAUCCGUACUUGAAACUCCGUUUGAAACUCUUAGAUCUGGCACCAAAAAUUUGUCCUCCUCUAUCACCCAUUCUGAACCUCACAAACUUCGAUCGAAAAAUCUCUUGUUUUCCCUCUAAAUAGGUUUUCCUUUGACUUAAUCUUAUCCAGAUCUGUAAAGUGAUGGCGGCAAGUGCCGACAACGAUCUUCGUUUAGACAGUGCAGAUCUAAGUUAUCUGAUGACGAGGAGCGACAAUAUAUAUUAAGUUGAUUCUUCCUAUCCUCAUUUGCUUUUCAGAGUGAUGAAAAUUCGAUAGGCGACGAUGAUGGAUUUUCAUAGAUCGUAUAUUUAUCGGCUUUGAUGAUUUUUUAUUUAUUUAUUUUAUGUAUUUGUUUACUGGAUAUAGAUUUUGGUGAGAUUUUUUUCUUUUUGUUGGUAUAAUGAUAGUGAUAAUGGUUAUGGGUUUGUGCUAUGGAGAAGAUAAAGAAGGAUGGGGAAGGAAAAAUUAUGGCAGAGGAAGGUGGUGGUGGUGGUGCAGUGGUAGAUACCGUAGAUUAGGCAAAUUAGUUGAUUGAAAAUGUUAAAGGAUUUUCUUCCAUGUUUGAUUUUAACAAUUUAAUUGCUUGUUCAGUUUGGGUUAACAUUUGAUAAUUGGUUAAUCUAGAUCUGCAUUUUUUUAUUGUUCUUUGCUUUGAUGAGAAAUAAG
rnacentral:lncRNA from 1 species